rfam:Paraliobacillus sp. PM-2 genome assembly, contig: CONTIG000001
CAAUCAUGGCAGUGAUGUUGUGAUGAAUUGUAAGAAGUCAGCAGAAGCCAUAGUAGUCCUAAAUGGAUGAAGGGC